UACGUAGGGUGCGAGCGUUGUCCGGAAUUAUUGGGCGUAAAGGGCUCGUAGGCGGUUUGUCGCGUCGGGAGUGAAAACACCGGGCUUAACUCGGUGCUUGCUUUCGAUACGGGCAGACUAGAGGUAUGCAGGGGAGAACGGAAUUCCUGGUGUAGCGGUGAAAUGCGCAGAUAUCGGGAGGAACACCGGUGGCGAAGGCGGUUCUCUGGGCCUGACCUGACGCUGAGGAGCGAAAGCGUGGGGAGCGAACAGG
rnacentral:rRNA from 1 species